rnacentral:lncRNA from 12 species
GGAACCACUCCCACCUAAGUCACUUGCAAUGGUGAGAGGUGUUUAUUUAAAGGAAAGAUAGGCAGAUAAACUCCUGGACCACCAGUGUAUUUUUUCUCUCUACUUUUCUCCAUCCCUCCCUUCUUCCCUUCUUGAGUAGAUAUUGUAUGUCUACUAUGUGCUAGUUACUGUAAAGAGACAGAAAGAAAGUAUAAGCUUCUCAGAAGCUUUACUAUAGUAGCAAAGAAGACAGGCAUCAAAUGAUGAGUUAAUUAUUUAGUUUAUUAAUUUUAAUUGUGAUAAAGUUAAAUAGAAGCACAGGAUGUUAACACAGUGUAUAGUGAGAAGGUAGUCUGGCCUAGAGAAUUAGAGAAGGCUUUCCUGAGGAAAGUAUGAUUGAGAUAUUUAUUGGAAUCUAAAUGAAAAAUAGUAGAUAACUGAAAAAAAAGGGAUUGAAGAGCAUGCCAGGGAGAGAGAAGAGUGGUAAAGACUCUGAAGUGGGCAGGAAUGGUGAUUAGACAACUAAGAGGCUAGUCUGACUGGGCUGCACUGAAUAUGGGAGAGAGAAACAAGAGAUGGAGCUGGGGGUGGGUGGAGAUAGACAAGGGGCCACAUCAUGCAAGGUCUUGAAAAAUCAUGGCAAAGUCUGAUUUAGAGAGACAAUGCUCUAUAACUUCAUUUAUUGAGGUUGUGUAACCCAAAGGAAUAAAAUGUAAUAGUAGGAGUUCUGGUCAUUAGAAAUGUGCCCAGGGAAGGCAACAACAGGUCAGGAUAUUUGACCUGAGUCCUAUAAACUUUCACAAAUUACUCCAUGUAUCUGGCAGCUGACCCUGCCCAGGGGUGUGGUUAGACCAGAAAGAGAGUCACUGCUGAAUGAUUCUACCACAAACUUCCUCAACCGAGAGCACAUUCAAUUUUUCAUAAGGACGAAUGAUACUGGAUUGCAUGCCAGUGGGAAAUGAGUCUCUUUGACGACAUUCCCCUGAAAUCCACUGCCUCUUGCUACGUUUCACUGAGAUUACCAUCUGGGAACCAAUCCCCUAGGUAACUACAGUAAUAGGAUAUGUUGAAUGGUUUAGGCCUGGGUAAUCUGCAGCCUUGGCUAUU